GCUGAACUUAAGCAUAUCAGUAAGCGGAGGAAAAGAAACUAACUAGGAUUGCCCCAGUAGCGGCGAGUGAACAGGCAAAAGCUCAAAGUGAAAAUCCGUUGCAUAAAGUAAUGGAAUUGUAAUCUAGAGAGGUGUUCGGAGGUGAUCGGGCGUGGAAUAAGUUCCUUGGAACAGGACGUCAUAGAGGGUGAUAACCCCGUAGUCGUCUACGUCACGGACCCAACGAGCAUUUUCGAAGAGUCGGGUUGUUUGGGAUUGCAGCCCUAAAUGGGAGAUAAACUUCUUCUAAAGCUAAAUAUUUAUGGGAAACCGAUAGC
rnacentral:rRNA from 1 species